UUCAGUUCUCUGUAUGUAUGUACUGUACAUGUGGAAGAAUUGACAAUAAAGCAGACUUGACUUGACUUGUUCCAGAACAGUUCAACCCAAAUAUUCAGAUGUGUGCUGCGCAUUUAAUGGAGGACAGUUUCCUGUUCCUGGGAGAGUAGACUACAAUGCCGGCUGUUCUGAAUCACAAUCUGUUACAGAUUGUUUGUUGGAGUUUGAAAAUAUCUGGUGUCAUGGAGGAGUGCUAUGCUGUGUUAUUGAGAAUGAAAUCGUCUUUUCACAUAUUUUUCUAUGAAUUCUUGGCCUCACACCGAUGGAUCUCGUCUGCACUACAAGAGCUGCUUCACGCUGCAAUAUGAGACUUUCACUCACGUUUCGGGACAGUUAACAGAACUGUCAGUUCAACUGUUGCAUCGUCACUUACUCAAGUGCUCCAAAGGCU